rnacentral:rRNA from 1 species
AUUGAACGCUAGCGGGAUGCUUUACACCUGCCAGUCGAACGAGUGGCGGACGGGUGAGUAAUCUAUCGGACGUGCCCAGUAGCGGGGGAUAACUCCUGGCAACGGUAGCUAAUACCGAAUACUAUCGGAUAACCAAUAGGGGAUUAGCUAGUAGGUGAGGUAAUGGCUCACCUAGGCGACGAUCCAGAGCUGGUCUGAGAGGAUGAUCAGCCAGAUGGGUACUGUGAGACGGCCCAGACUCCGACGGAGUAAGCAUUGGGAAAUAUUGCACAAUGGGCGCAGGCCUGAUGCAGCCAUGCCGCGUGUAUGAAGAAGGCCCUAGGGUUGUAAAGUACUUGCAGUCGGGAGGCGUUACCGAGUGAAGAAGCACCGGCUAACUCCGUGCCAGCGGCCGCGGUAAUUC